AAUGCAGUGACUUUUUCAUCACAAUUUGUAGAUAUUUUUUGAGUUCAGGUUUAGCUUUUUCGCUCAUUUUCGAAUGAAAGAGGAGAAAAAAGUCCCAAAGAAAGAAAAAUAAAGUGCUGGUGCUUGUAAGCAUGUCAAUUGCAAGACGUUUGAGCACAAUCGAGAAAUAACAACAGAUAAGGCGAAGUUCCUUGGAAAUCGAAAAGAAGCAAGAAAACGGAGGAGACACUUCAGACUGUUCUUUGAUAGAGCAGGUACCAAUGUAUUUCUAUAAACUUUUUGUGGCCGCUUUUUCAAUUAUACUGAUCGUUCAGAUGCAGUGAUUACUUUGAUAUGGAUCAAAAGUGAUGACCACAAGUAGC